GACGAACGCUGGCGGCAGGCCUAACACAUGCAAGUCGAGCGAGCGGCGGGCGGGUGAGUAAGGGAUGGGGACCUGUCCGAUAGCGGGGGAUCACUGCGGGAAACGGCGGCUAAUCCCGCACACUGGCGGCUGAACCCACUUGGGAUUAGCUAGUAGGUAAGGUAAUGGCUUACCUAGGCGACGAUCCCUAGCUGGCCUGAGAGGAUGAUCAGCCACACUGGGACUGAGACACGGCCCAGACUCCUACGGGAGGCAGCAGUGGGGAAUAUUGCACAAUGGGCGCAAGCCUGAUGCAGCCAUGCCGCGUGUAUGAAGAAGGCCCUAGGAUUGUAAAGUAUUUUCAGUCGGGAGGCGGUACCUACAGAAAAAGCAACGGCUAACUACGUGCCAGCCGCCGCGGUAAUAC
rnacentral:rRNA from 1 species